CUCUUCUCCAGUGUCCGGCCAACCUGCAGUUCGAGUCCACCACACCCCACCCGCACAGAGCAAGCGAGGAGGGCGAGAUGACGGCGAGCUUCGGCCGCCGCCUCCGCCCGACGUCGGCGCCGCCGCUCGACGACGACGACCUGCUCGACGAGAUCCUCCUCCGCCUCCCCCCGGAUCCGUCCUCCCUCCCGCGCGCCUCCGCCGUCUGCACCCGCUGGCGCCGCCUCGUCUCCGACCCCGGCUUCGUCGGCCGCUUCCUCCUCCACCACCGCCUCCGCCCUUCCAUCCUCGGCUGCUUCAUCACGGACCAGCGGAGGGCGACCGUCUCCUUCGUGCCUACUCUGGAGGCCCCCAACCGUCUCCCCGCCGAGCGCUUCUCCUUGGAGCUCGGCGACCGCGGCCGCUUCAGGCUCCUCAGCUGCCGCCACGGCCUCCUGCUCAUGUUCCUCCCGUUGUGGAGCAAGGUCCUGGUCUGGGACCCCGUCACCGGAGACCAGCACCGCCUGGACAUUCCCCUAGGGUUUGACACGAAGAAGGAGAUCGCCGGGGCGGUGCUUCGCGCUGCCGGGGCCAUCCGCCACUUCCAAGUGGUCUUAGUGGGCAGAGACAAACAAAACAUAGUCGCCUGCGUUUACUCAUCGGAGGCUGGCGUAUGGAGCAAACUGAUCUCAACUCCGCUUCCAAAUCCGUUUUGCUACCAGUUUACAUCAACCAUUUGAAAGUGUCUAUACUGGAGAAACAAGCAUUGGUGGUGGACACAAUGGAGCUGAACUUUUGCACAACACAUAAGAUGAUUGUCUGGUUCAGUAUGUUAUUAUGGUGUAUUGGUUGAGCAGGUCUUCCUGUCGAUGAGUAGUGCUUGUGAGGCUAUUUUGUUUUCAGCAGCGGAAAUGGAGCCUCGGUGAGAGCCUUUUUCCUCUAAAAAAUCUGCCCAGGUGUCUAGAGUUACAUUGCAUAUUACCUAUUUGCAUUCUCUGUUUUUAUUACUCUAGAAGCUGAAAGUCCGCACUGCAUAUUACAUACUCCCUCCGUUCACAAAUGCAAGACGUUUUGGAUAUUUCAAUAUCGACCACAUACGGAUUGAAAUGAGUGAACAAACACACUAAAACGCAUCUAUAUAUAUCUGAUUCAGAAAAAGGUUAAAAGAUCUUACAUUUGUGAACAGAAGGAGUAUUUGUGUUCUCUGUUUCUGUUACUGUUUUCUCCCCAAUAUCACUACUUUGGAGUUUUUUGUACAAUUUCCACAAUGGUGAAGCUAGUGUUUACUAUGUGAAUCAUACACAAAUUAUGAGACUGUAUAACUUUAACGGUUUUCCCAUGAUUGCU